GUUCCUGUAGUUAAAGGAUAACGGUGGCUUUUCAAGUCACAGAUCUUGGGUAAAAACCAAGUAGGAACU
rnacentral:tRNA from 1 species